GGGGCGGGGGGCGGGGCGGCUCCAGCCCUCAGCCCUUCUGGGAGUAGUUAGGCGUUCGCUCAUCUGGAACAAGGAAUCACAACUACUGGGAUGAGUUUUCUUCCUGUUUAGUUUGAUUUUUAAUUUUCUUCCUUUUUUUCUUUUUUUAUCAUUUGGCGUUUUGAGACGAGGAAUCACUGUGUAGCCCAGUUGGACCCUACCUCAGAAAACUACAAAUAAGUGUUUACGUAUGUUCGUGCACCCUAAAAGCUCAGUAUUUGUUGGUGUAACGGUUAAACCCUGCUGACUGUGCCUUUAACUCUGAAAAUCGUGCACUGCAGCCUGGAGAACUGCUCCUGACCGGCAUCACUGCUCUCCAGGACCUCAGUGUCCAGCCCAGGGGCCACCCGGCCGCGCCUCUGCCUGGGGAGUUGAGGCCUGCGGUGGACUCGAAGUGUAGACUGGCUGGCUAGUGUUCAGCACAGUGUUCACAAGAGCGCCUGAAACCCCCAGGUUCGGGGCCAGUGACUUUAGUCUCUAAAACAAGUUUUGGUUUGUUUUUUUUGUACUGGGAUGGAACCCGGGGCUUGUCAUGGAGCUACAUCCCCAGCCCUUUGGAUUUUUAAUUUCAGACUCGAAUGCGCUAAGGGAUAAGUUGCCUGGUUGGGUUUGAACUGAGUUCCUCCUGCCUCAGGCUCCCCAGGGCCGGGAUUACUGGUGUUCUCACUUCUGCACAUCUGCACGUUGCGCGUGAGUGUGUCGGACUGUUCAGACCCCAGAGAGCUUUCCCAGUG
rnacentral:lncRNA from 1 species